GGGCAACCCGCAUCAUUGUUCCAGCAUUGCAACAUUGUUCCACCCUCUUAAUCCAAAAGCAUUCUAGUGUGUUGGCUCCCAGCUCACGCCCUGACCGUGGACUGAUCCGGCCUGCCCUGAGGUUACCUUCCCUGCUCAUCAGGUGUGAGGACCUGGGCAAGUCACUGCACCUCUCUAGGCUUCAUUGUUCUCUCCUGGAAAAUGGGACCUGGCACCAGGACUUAAGCACAGGUUUGCGGUAAGCAUGUGGUGACCUAGUGAAAGGCGCGCUUACCAUCAUCCCUGGUAUGCUAAGCCCCUAGUACGUGUGGCUGUUUGAAUCAUCUGCUUCAUCAUCUUUUAAAGCAAUGUUGCUUCUAAUCCGCAUUUUGGUCCUAAAGGGCCCUUGACUUUCAGGAGGAUUUUUGUUGGCAUGGAUUUGUUUAAAUGAACGUAAUGCAACGGGGAAGCUUCUGUUCCUGAUUGUGAACUAUUGUAGCUCUCAGGUAGUGUCACACACACAGGAAAUACUUCUUGGACUGCAUGCUCUGCCAGCACUGACCACCAAGUACUUCCAGGUCAAGCUAGUCCCCUGCCCUCGCAUCGCCAAAACUCCUCCCUUCAGGUGGCCAAGCGGUACUGCUCUGAAUAGCACCAUGAAAACACAGAAAGAUGACAUGUUUGUAAGGAUGAACAUUUGAGAAAUCUCACCAGCAUUCAAAAGGCAGAAACUUCCACCUUGUCCAUGUAUGAGAUGCAUAUACAGAGAUCAUGGAAACAUCACACAGCAAAGUCUUUCUCCAGCAACUUGCUUUCAGAUACAAAGCGACACUCCAAUGUCAGAAAUCAUUUUAGAAAUUGCUUUUCCCUUUACAAAGCUCUGAACUUUGACUAAUUCCUCAAAGACACUUGUGUUUAUAUGGCUGUUUAUUUACUUAUUGUCCCUGGGUUGUUCAAUAGGUCUCUUGACAUCAUUCCUCCUAUCAUUUUGUAUCCUUUGACCAAUGUGCCCCCAAUACUUCCCAGCUCAACCAAGUCCAGCCUCCAGUAACCUCCCAUCUACUCCUUCUUUCUAUGUAUCAACUCUUUUAGGUCCCACGUACAAGUGAGAUCAUGCGGUAUCUGUGUUUCUGUACCUGGCUUAUUUCAUUUAGCAUAAUUAGGAUUUUAUUCUUUUUUUCAGCUGAAUGAUAUGCAAAUGUAUGUAUGUAUACACCCCCCCCACCCCCCCCACACACAGUUUCUUUACUCAUUCAUCUGAUAGAUAUUUAGGUUAAUUUCAUACCUUAACUAUGGUGAACGGUGCUGCAGUGAACAUGAGGUGCAGACUACCUUUCACAUAAUGAUUGUGUUUCCUUUGGAUGUAUUACCCAGCAGUGGGAUUGCUGGAUCAUAUGGUAGUUCUGUUUUUAAAGUUUUUCAGGAACCUCCAUACAGUUUUCCAUAGUGGCUAUACUAAUUUAUAUUACAACUAAGAGUGUACAAGAAAUUCCCUUUCCUCCACAUCUUCUCCAACACUUACCUGUUGCCUUUUUGAUAAUAGUUAUUCUGACAGAUAUGAGAUGAUACCUCAUUAUGGUUUAAGUUGCAUUUCCCUAAUGAUUAAUGAAGUUAAACAUUUUUUCAUCUAGCUUUUGGCCAUUUGUAUGUCUUAUUUUGAGAAGUGUCUAUUCAGAUCUUCUGUUUCAUUUUAAAUUAAGUUACUUGUUUUCUUAAUAUUGAGUCGUUCAGGUUCUGUACAUGUUUUAGUUAUUACCUCCUGGUCAGACAUGUGAUUUACAAAUAUGUUCUCUCUUUCUGUAGGUUGUCUCUUCACUCUGUUGAUCAUUUCCUUGGCUGUGCAGAAGCUUUUAAGUUUGAUGUAAUCUGAUUUGUCUAUUUUUGCUUUUGUUGCCUCUGCUUUUGCGUUCAUAUUCAAAUAAAUUAUUGCCCAGAUCAACAUCAUGUAUAGGGAUACUUACUAUUUCAAUGUAAACUUACCAAAAUCACAAAAAAUGUAUUGUUAGAAAGUAACUAUGCCACAUAAUGUUUCCACACAAGACUGUGCAACUUGUAUAAACUGUAUUACAUGAUGAAAAUCUCACAAUAGUGCUCAAAACCUCAGGUGUCUAUCUCAAAAGAAGACACAGUCAUUAGAUUGCCUUAUAAUUUGGAUUUUCCUUGAUUAAAAUUUCACAUUCACAUUUGUAUUUCCUUACCUCUGUAGAAAUAGCAUUAAAAGUAAUUCCCCAGGCAUCUGUGAUUGCUCUAGGAAUUUUUAUAUAAAACCUAUAUAUAUAUACACACACACACACACACACAUAUACAUAUAUAUGUGUGUGUCUAAAAAUAGUGUAUAUGUGACAUAGAAUUAUAUUUUGGAUAUAUUAAAUUGUCAUAUCUUUAUUCUUCAUUUUGUAGUCUAGGCAACUAAAUAACCACCAAAGUGACAAAAUAAGGGUACCUUUUCAUAACUUAGAAACCAAGGAAGAAUGACACAAUAUGCUAAUAAAAUUUUCUCCCAAUUUCAACUGGAACAAUUAAAUGAUAAAUUCCUAUGUAGAGAAAUGCAAUCAUCUAUAAUUUCUUCAUUUCAGGUCAGUUAAUAUGACCAUUUAAGCCUGUAUUUCCUAUUGCACUUCUCUUUUAGGUUGACAAAGAAAACAAAUCAGAAAUUCAACUAGCAGUUUUCCAAAAUAAAACAGUAAGGCUUAUUACCCUGACCUUAGCAGUUGGUACCCAAUUUAGUAUCUUUAUACUACGAUGGUUUUCUUGUAAAUGUUAUCCUUGGCCACAUCUAAAAUAACAAGUUUUUACUUAACAUUUAUUUUUUUCUAAAGAAAUUCAGUCUCUAGAAGGAAAUAAACCUGGCAGAAAUAGAAUUCCUACUUUUCUCCCUUAUGCUAGGCUCUAGAAAUACUGAGGAAAUCAUCCGCUUUCAGGACUGUUCUUGAAAGUGAUAACUUGCAUGCACUUGAGCCGCAUCUCCCCUUCCCAGCACACCUGAACCCCAGGUCCCACUGUUGAUCUCCCUCUUCAAAGCAGCUCUGUUAUCUUCCUGAAACUGGAGAGGGAGAGGCUUACUCCUACUUUCAAACCAAAAACAGAUUUAGACCCGAAAGGAUUUAAAAAUAACCUAAAAAUAAAGUCCCAAAGCUGGCUUUUCUAUGUUCAAUCACACAACACUCGAAACAAUUGUGUGUUGCUUUGAGUCCCAAAUGCUUUAAUUUUUUUAAAGAAUAUGCAGUUCACUUUCUUAUUCCAGCAAACAUCGCAUUUAUACUAUCAAUAUGUCCAGGGUUUACUAAAACUUCAUAAAUGACUCUCUGAUAUUUGAAAGGGCAAGAUUAGAGUGGCUUCGUAUUUCAAACACAUACGUCAAAGAGUUGCGUAACACAUAUGCACAUAUUAAAGUUAUUACAGAUGUGAAAAUCUGCUUUUUUUUCCUGCCAAAGAAACAUGUACUUCCUUCAUGAAGAAUUUCCUAAACAAAUUUUGCCAGUUUAAUUGCCUAUAGAAAUUUAUUUUUAAAACAUUUUAUUUAAACCAUGUAAGUCCCAAGGUAGUCUGUGAACGUGAACUUUAAAGCUAACAUUUUUGUCACUAGUUCCUUUUUGCUAUGUCAGAAAAGAAAACAAUUCACAGCCAUUUUAUUUUUCCAGUUUUUCUCAAGGUUAGAGACUGUCUCAACCUCAUAGGCUCAGAAGAAUGCCUUUAUUUUCCCAUGAAAAGAUAAUCCUGAAGUAAUAUUUGCAGCAAGAGGCCAUUAGGCAAGUGUUGACCCUUUAUGGCUAGUCCAAUUUCCUCUCUAUGUGAGAUAUUAGUAAUUAAAUUCAGAUUUCUGUGUAUUUAUUUUCUUUCCUCAACUCUGUUCAUGGAUGCCAUUUUUAGGUAUCUCUUGCCACUUGAGCAAUCAAUAAGCAAAAGAGAGAUUUGUAAGAGGCCUUAAAAGGAGAGAAAGAGGAUUUUUCUCUUAGGCCCAGUUAUAGAAUCAGUUGUUAUUUUUUGGUCUGCAAUAAAUUUUUCCCAUAUCUGUAUGGGCAUUCCACCCGCGAGUUUCAGUUCUCUUAUUGCUUUUCUAAAUGUCUUGAGAGGUCACUAGAAAAUUAUUACAGUUCAUUAUUAUCCAGAAACUCCAACUUCUGACAUAAAGUAGCAAUUAUUUUUAACUUAAUCACAGACUAACAUAGUUUUGGAUGUUGGAAGAAAUAAUGCUAAAAUUGUAUAGCUCAAAAAAAAGAAAGAGAGAGAGAGAGAGAGAAAGACAGCCUGAAUAUGUCUUGAGUUUGAGAAUUUUUCAAUCUUGCUUUAUUCUCAGGGAUAAUUUUCAAACCUGAAAUUAAAUAGAUCAGUUGAGACAUGGAAUAAGCUUCUAUGGAGGCUCAUUAUAAAACUCAUGUAGAGUCUAAUCAUUCUUCCUAACACUCAUUUUUCCACCCACUAAAUCAUUAGCUUCAUUAACAGUGAUUAAAACUAAACCUCAAUCUGGCAGAGUUGGAUGGAUUCUCACGUCCUUCUAAUGACUAUAGUCUAAAGCACCCCACUGGGAAAGUGAGUGCUUCCUGGAGCCCGUGGACACAGAGGGAAGAG
rnacentral:lncRNA from 1 species